rnacentral:rRNA from 1 species
CUACGUGCCAGCAGCCGCGGUAAUACGGAAGGUCCAGGCGUUAUCCGGAUUUAUUGGGUUUAAAGGGAGUGUAGGCGGUUUGUUAAGCGUGUUGUGAAAUUUAGAUGCUCAACAUUUAACUUGCAGCGCGAACUGGCGAACUUGAGUGCACACAACGUAUGCGGAAUUCAUGGUGUAGCGGUGAAAUGCUUAGAUAUCAUGAAGAACUCCGAUUGCGAAGGCAGCAUACGGGAGUGUAACUGACGCUUAAGCUCGAAGGUGCGGGUAUCGAACAGGAUUAGAUACCCUGGUAGUCCGCACAGUAAACGAUGGAUGCCCGCUGUUAGCGCCUGGCGUUAGCGGCUAAGCGAAAGCAUUAAGCAUCCCACCUGGGGAGUACGCCGGCAACGGUGAAACUCAAAGGAAUUGACGGGGGCCCGCACAAGCGGAGGAACAUGUGGUUUAAUUCGAUGAUACGCGAGGAACCUUACCCGGGCUUGAAUUGCAGACGCAGGAUACAGAGA